rnacentral:rRNA from 1 species
CCAUCCCAGUUCGGAUGCAGGCUGCAACCCGCCUGCGUGAAGUUGGAAUCGCUAGUAAUCGCGGAUCAGCAUGCCGCGGUGAAUACGUUCCCGGGCCUUGUACACACCGCCCGUCACACCAUGAGAGUUUGUAACACCCAAAGCCGGUGGGGUAACCUUUUGGAGCCAGCCGUCUAAGGUGGGACAGAUGAUUGGGGUGAAGUCGUAACAAGGUAGC